CACCACGUUGCCGUCGUCACGCUGUCGUGUUCACAAUUCACGCCGCCAUCAAUCGGAUGGUAGGCUGUUUCUUCAUCUCAAGUAUUUGUUAAUUUUGAUACAAUUAACAAUAGCCUUGACUCGCUUUCUAGCAUAUGCUCCAAAUUGGAUGGAAAGAACUGCUGCUACACAACAGGAUAUAAGUGGGCAUUUCAAAAUGGCACCUGACCAGAACUUUGUUGUACUGAGUUGCUUGUAUUGUCCUAAUAGAGGCCCAGCAUAUUGACUUUUGAUCUUGUCGUGUACUCAAUAGUUCACAAGACUUUCUGUAAAGUGGACGAAAAUUGAACAUUUUGAAGCACCAUUGCCGGGCUGUUUUAAUUUGUAGGUGAAA